rnacentral:rRNA from 1 species
ACGAACGCUGGCGGCGUGCUUAACACAUGCAAGUCGAACGGGCCCGCCCCUGUUUUUGGGGGUGGGUUGAGUGGCGAACGGGUGAGUAUCACGUGAGUAACCUGCCCCCUGCUCCUGGAUAACUGCUUGAAAGGGCGGCUAAUACGGGGUGUGCCGGCUGGUCCGCAUGGGCCUGGUCGGGAUAGUUUCAUCUUCGGGUGUUUCGGUGGGGGAUGGGCUCGCGGCCUAUCAGCUUGUUGGUGGGGUGAUGGCCCACCAAGGCGGUGACGGGUAGCCGGCCUGAGAGGGUGGGCGGCCACACUGGGACUGAGACACGGCCCAGACUCCUGCGGGAGGCAGCAGUGGGGGGUAUUGCACAAUGGGCGGAAGCCUGAUGCAGCGACGUCGCGUGAGGGAUGGAGGCCUUCGGGUUGUGAACCUCUUUCUCCGGUGGUGAAGGCCCUGUCCGGUGCGGCGGGGUUGACGGUAGCCGGGUAUGAAGCGCCGGCUAACUACGUG